rnacentral:rRNA from 1 species
GAUGAACGCUGGCGGCGUGCCUAGUACAUGCAAGUCGAGCGAACAGAUAAGGAGCUUGCUCCUUUGACGUUAGCGGCGGACGGGUGAGUAACACGUGGAUAACCUACCUAUAAGACCGGGAUAACUUCGGGAAACCGGAGCUAAUACCGGAUAACAUAUUGAACCGCAUGGUUCAAUAGUGAAAGGCGGCUUUGCUGUCACUUAUAGAUGGAUCCGCGCCGUAUUAGCUAGUUGGUAAGGUAACGGCUUACCAAGGCAACGAUACGUAGCCGACCUGAGAGGGUGAUCGGCCACACUGGAACUGAGACACGGUCCAGACUCCUACGGGAGGCAGCAGUAGGGAAUCUUCCGCAAUGGGCGAAAGCCUGACGGAGCAACGCCGCGUGAGUGAUGAAGGUCUUCGGAUCGUAAAACUCUGUUAUCAGGGAAGAACAAAUGUGUAAGUAACUGUGCACAUCUUGACGGUACCUGAUCAGAAAGCCACGGCUAACUACGUG